AACGAACGCUGGCGGCAGGCCUAACACAUGCAAGUCGAACGCGCCGCAAGGUGAGUGGCGCACGGGUGAGUAACGCGUGGGAAUGUGCCCUUAGGUACGGAACAACACAGGGAAACUUGUGCUAAUACCGUAUGUGCCCUUCGGGGGAAAGAUUUAUCGCCUUUGGAGCAGCCCGCGUUGGAUUAGGUAGUUGGUGAGGUAAAGGCUCACCAAGCCGACGAUCCAUAGCUGGUCUGAGAGGAUGACCAGCCACACUGGGACUGAGACACGGCCCAGACUCCUACGGGAGGCAGCAGUAGGGAAUCUUGCGCAAUGGGCGAAAGCCUGACGCAGCCAUGCCGCGUGUAUGAUGAAGGUCUUAGGAUUGUAAAAUACUUUCACCGGGGAAGAUAAUGACGGUACCCGGAGAAGAAGCCCCGGCUAACUUCGUGCCAGCCGCCGCCGUAAGAC
rnacentral:rRNA from 1 species